CAGGACGCGGCUUGUUCGGCUGCGGGAAUCUCCUUCCCUGAGAGACACCUGGGAGCCUUGAUUAUUGGAAGAGCUGAGGAAUCUGGAAGCCUGGCAAGGGCUGAUUCCAGCAUGCUGGUAUCCUAAGAGACACCUGGGAGCCUUGAUGGCUGCAGAAGCGCCGAACUUCAGAAAACCACUAGCUAGAAGAACCUUAAAGAGUAAAUGGAAAAUGUCCUCCCCAAGUGGUGGCAUAGUCAGCAGGAUAAACUUUAACUGGCUGGACACUGAGUGACCUAGGACA